UCUGGGAUUAAUAAUGAGGCCCA
rnacentral:siRNA from 1 species